rnacentral:rRNA from 1 species
UACGAAGGGGGCUAGCGUUGCUCGGAAUCACUGGGCGUAAAGGGUGCGUAGGCGGGUCUUUAAGUCGGGGGUGAAAUCCUGGAGCUCAACUCCAGAACUGCCUUCGAUACUGGCGAUCUCGAGUUCGGGGAGAGGUGAGUGGAACUGCGAGUGUAGAGGUGAAAUUCGUAGAUAUUCGCAAGAACACCAGUGGCGAAGGCGGCUCACUGGCCCGAUACUGACGCUGAGGUGCGAAAGCGUGGGGAGCAACAGGG